rnacentral:tRNA from 1 species
AGGGUAAUAGCUCAGUGGUAGAGUGCAUGCUUAGCAUGCAUGAGGCCCUGUGUUCCAUCCCCAGUACCUCCA